rnacentral:rRNA from 1 species
UACGUAGGGUGCGAGCGUUAAUCGGAAUUACUGGGCGUAAAGCGUGCGCAGGCGGUUCGUUGUGUCUGAUGUGAAAGCCCCGGGCUCAACCUGGGAAUGGCAUUGGAAACUGGCGAGCUAGAGUGUGGCAGAGGGGGGUGGAAUUCCGCGUGUAGCAGUGAAAUGCGUAGAGAUGCGGAGGAACACCGAUGGCGAAGGCAGCCCCCUGGGCUGACACUGACGCUCAGGCACGAAAGCGUGGGGAGCAAAAGGG